rnacentral:rRNA from 1 species
UACGUAGGGUGCAAGCGUUUAUCCGGAAUUAUUGGGCGUAAAGAGCUCGUAGGCGGUUUGUCGCGUCUGCUGUGAAAACUGGGGGCUCAACCCCCAGCCUGCAGUGGGUACGGGCAGACUAGAGUGCGGUAGGGGAGACUGGAAUUCCUGGUGUAACGGUGAAAUGCGCAGAUAUCAGGAGGAACACCGAUGGCGAAGGCAGGUCUCUGGGCAUUAACUGACGCUGAGGAGCGAAAGCAUGGGGAGCGAACAGG